CCUGUUGUAUUAAACUCCGAGGGAACCCCUCCCGAGGGCCCCUUCCCUAUUGGACACACCCACAACUAUACGUGUUCCGUGGGAUAUAUGGGGUUCUGGGAAUCCUAUACCACAUGCCAGGAUAAUGGAAAAUGGUCAGAAGUAAUCUUUCAGUGCAUAGAUAUUUGUAUUGUCCAUGGAAACAGACGGAUAGGGACUUGGUGUUAUUUCUUUACAACUGUCAAAGCAACGCGCACGGAUGCAAAUGCUCUUUGUACAAACAGAGGAAUGUAUCUUUCCCGCAUUGAAACCUCGAAAGAAUGGUACACCUUACAGCCGCAUAUCAGUA